rnacentral:rRNA from 1 species
UACAGAGGUCUCAAGCGUUGUUCGGAUUCAUUGGGCGUAAAGGGUGUGUAGGUGGCGCCGUAAGUCGGGUGUGAAAUUUCGGAGCUUAACUCCGAAACUGCAUUCGAUACUGCGGUGCUUGAGGACUGGAGAGGAGACUGGAAUUCAUGGUGUAGCAGUGAAAUGCGUAGAUAUCAUGAGGAAGACCAGUGGCGAAGGCGGGUCUCUGGACAGCUCCUGACGCUGAGGCGCGAAGGCUAGGGGAGCAAACGGG